GUCAGUGUGGGAUAGUAGUUUGAGCGUUGGACCAGGACACUAGAAACCAGGGUUCGAAUCCCUGCUCAGCCA